UAUCCCAGACCCCUGUUAGAGAAGAAACACCUGAAUUCAAUGUGUCCCAAUACUUUUGUCUAUAUAGUGUAUGACUCAUUACGCACAUGCUAACACUACAUAAUGAACCAUUGCUUUUUCUUGUGAGACAUUUACGUAAUCAGCUCUUAUUUGGAAUGGCAAACUUAGAAAAAUAUAAAUAAUAAAAAUGCUUUUAAAAAUUUCUAUUAGAUGGAAAAGCAUGUCAUACAAACUACAAUAUCGUAUGGAAAUACUUACUACUGUCCUGAUUCAUGGGGUGGUUUUGUUUUGUUUUGGUUAAGUAAUAGCUUCAGUCUUGACGUGACUGUGAAAGUGGGAUUUAUUGGACACAGUAGAGAUGUGGUCCGGUCAGUGAUUAAGAGCAGAAUAAGCUGAUGGUGAAACACUUCCCUGUGGAAAAUCAAUAACCUUUCUGCCACUUAUUCAAUAGUAAAUGCAUAAGGUUUAUUCUUCUUUUCCUUCCAAUGUGAAAGACUUCAAAAUGUGUCUGUAUUCUCUCUCAGCUGUUCAUUUCAGAUCCAUUUUUCCAUGGCUGUGAGUCUCUCUAAGUGCUCUUUUGAUUGUUGGAGUCGACCGCUCUGCUUCUUCGGAGCAGAUUUCAGUAAUGGCCGCGCUGUCGUGUCUGAAGUGUUUGUUAUUCUUGUUUGAAAAUGCCAGAGAGGCCAUUAAAGCAGAAUACUGAAAGUCUCAUCAUCAUCACAUUAGCUGCUUUUUCUUCUGUUUUAGAGCGACGUUGCAGAGCUGCUGUUUUUUUAAUUAUCAGAAAAUGAAAUAUGUCAUAAUAAUUUUUAAGGUCUCUGUGAAAUAUUCAGGUGAAAAAAAAGAAAAAAAAGAAAUAGCUCAUUGUCAGUGGAUGAAAAUGGUGUACUUGGUUAUUCUGUAGCUGCAUUUCCAUCACUGCACAUCCUUAUUUCCAUCCUCAGUUUAUGUGACUUGACUUCUGUAUCUCUUUUCCUUUUCGGUAAUGUUGAAGGGUUUGGGUGGGUGACGAGGCUCUGAGCAAAUGGCUACUGACAAUCAGAGCUAGGGGCCCCAAAGCUUUUAAUGACAGGCAGCAAAUGUGAUGAAUAAAGUUUGAAUGAUUGAAAU